AGUUGAAAAUAUUGCUACUUAAUAUUCACUUUGGCAGCACAUAUACAGAGAAGAUUAGCAUGGCUCUGUGCAAGGAUGACAUGCAAAUUUGUGAAGUGUUCCAUAUUUUU
rnacentral:snRNA from 1 species